AUUCAUUCAGUCUUAUCUCUGAUGCGUUGGUUUUCUGUCAAAAAUUCCUGACAGAAUUAACAGUCAAAAUGAAGCAGGAUAAUUGGAGACGGAGCCAUGCAGCCGAUCAUGCCAUCCUUGGAAUUAUUGGGCACACCAUCAUCUCUUGCUUGGAUUCAGGAUCUUGGCGAUUUGUUCAUGUGUGGAUGUGAUGGAACUGAAGUCGCUAGGUUCAUGCUACCUGGAACAUGAGACUGACAAAUAGAGGAGCACUGAGUCAAAUGAAUCUCGGAGAAAUGGAGCUGGAAGAAAACUGGAGUAAGCCUGUCCCUGAAAGGGCACUACAUUUGGAUAUCCAGCAGUGGGACUCAAUAUUUUUUCUUGUUGUUUAAUCUCAUUUCUGUUACUUGCAGCCAAAGGCUCUUAAUGAGAAAAUGGCUCUACCUAGUUUUCUGAAAUUGCCUCAGUCUCUCCACUCUUCCCUAUUACAAAGGUCAUCUCUUUAAUUCACAUCCAAUAACUGAUAGUCUCUUGACUAAUCUACAUCCUCUCAUUCUCUCCUAAUUCACCUUUCAUACUGUUGCCAGGUGACUUUUCCUAAAAGACAACUUUCAUGAUGUCACUCUACUUCAUAAAUUCUUAUAAUGGUUUCUUUUUGCUUUUAGUCCAAACUCCUCAGGUUCGUUUUCAAGGCUUUUCAUAAUUGAAUUUCUUUUAUAUACCUAAGAUGAUUUCUCUGUGUUCCCAAAUGUACAAUUGACAGUCCUUCCUCCUGAUGUUCUCUCCAGUAGGAAAUGUUUGCUCUAUGUAAAUUCAGUAUAGCUUUUAGUCUCUAUUCAAGUUCUACCUUCUUCAUAAACUUCUCCUGAAUAGAAUCAGCCUAUAACCAUUUAAACUGUCUUUAUUAGGUGCACACUAUGUGCCAGGUACUCAACAAGGCAGUGGAACUAUGAAGACAGAUAAUCACAGUCCCUCUUGCCUCUGGGAGCAGGCAGUUGAAUGCAAUGCUUUUUAAAGUUUUAAGUAACGUGGUCAUGCAAAAUCUUAUAGAUAUACAUUUGAAUGUACAGAGUUUAAUUACCAAGCUAGUGAGACUUAAUGUUUCAAUUAAUAAAAAGUUUGGAAUCAAGGUAUAUAGAUAA
rnacentral:lncRNA from 1 species